rnacentral:lncRNA from 1 species
AAAUAGUGUUAUCCUUGAUCAGUCUUUUAAUUACUGCAACUGAUUAAAGGAAUAUUCAAGAACAGUAAUAGGCAGUAUCAGUUAUUAUUUCGGGACAUUGAACAACAUUUGCAGCAUCGUCGUGAUCUAUAUGAAAGGACGACAAUACAAGUUUAAGGAAUAGAUAGAACUUUACCAAGAACGGGAUAAAUAAUUGUGAACAUUUGUUCGGUGGUAACAUACCUCCUGUGGAAAAAAGUGAAGGUUAUGGACCCAGAGAGCAGACCACAUGUUUGAGUGCAGAAAAUAAAAGUCGAGAAGUAAAGUGGAAUUAUCAAUAGGUGAGAGGAUGGAGAUGUACAUCUUAUUUGGAAAUUUAGAGUGGCCGUCAUAGUAUGGUCUUAAGGUGUCUAUCAAUAUGUAAUUGAAGAACUAAGAAAUGUAGAAAACUGCAAAGGAGAGUUGUGAACAAUGUGUAAUUACAAAAUCAGAUAAUUUCAAUCAUAGGGAAGGGGAAUUUUUCAUGGAUAAAUGUAAAUUUAAACUUUAUAUAGUAACGCACAUUAUGUGACUGACAGGUAUUGUCCAUUUGCAAGUAUCUGAAAGUUAAUGCCAAAAGAAGAGAAAAGAAUAAAUGAUUUCUCAUCUCAACAGAUUGCAAAGGAAGUAAAUGGAAAGGCUGAUCAAAAUGAAUCUGUAGUCUUCAAAGCGCAGGAGAAGAGGUGAUUCAAGUGCAACUCCCUUAGACAUCUUGCACAUACAUAUUGAAGAAACAAUAAAGGAAGAAAAGACAAGAAUUCAGAAGUGUACUCUCCGUGUGGGACAUGUAAGAAGUUUAAUUAUUUGGAAAAAAUCAUUUGGAUUGUUAUUUUAAAAGCAAAAUGGAAAGAAAAGGAAAUCAAGUAGAAAAGAAGAAAGUGUGCUUCUUGACAGAGAGCAGUGGAUAAAACAAUGAAUUUUGGACUCGAGAACAACCAGCCAUAUGGUGAACAACCUAGAAUAGGAAGAAAUAGGAACAGAAUUUGGAUCAGUAAAGAGAAACAUUUUCAUGGAAACUAUAGAAAUAAGGCAAAGAUGAGGUAGAUAGUAUAUUUGAAAAUAUUCUAUAUGUUUCAAACUUGAGACAGAAUUUAAUGUCAAUACAUCUGAUAACUCAAAAGGAUGGGCAUAUGUGUAUCAAUUUACUUUAUGAUGUGGACGAAUCAAAAGCAAAAAUACAGGCUAGAGCAUUACUAGAAGAGAGGAACAAGAAGCUGGUAGUGGUAUAGAAAAUUGGGCCAUCCAUGAAAAGAGUACUAAAGGCAAGAAUUGGAGAAUGCAGGAUACUUUUUUUUAUGCAAAACAAUUGAAAACACCAUUUGGAGAGACAAGAACAGGGACAAAAGGGCAGCUUGAAAUUAUACAUUCUUAUAUAUGUGGACCUAUAGAAUGAGAGACAUGGAACAGGAAUAGGUACGCGAUGACAGUCUUAAAUUUGACUAAUUUCGUGAUGAUGUAUCUUAUGGAAUUAUGUACUAAAGCAUUACAGAGAUUGUUUAAGUAUAUUGCAGCAGCAGAAGUAAAAUAGAAUAACACACAGACCUAGAUGCGAUAAUGGAAGCAGAAUAAAAGUUCUGCAAAAGCAAUAAAUACAACUGCAUAUGGAAAGUGGGCAAGAGAAAAAUUUCACAUACGAAUCACGCGUUUUUGGAGAAACUAAUAUUCUUCGAAAUCUGAGAGUAAUAGUGUAAUUUCGUUUGCAGAUUCGUUUUAAGGAAAUUAAAUUCUGCAAGAAUUACCCAAUGAAUAUUACAAAUUAAGUUUUGUUUUGUACAGUAUAGUUAAAUAAAUGAU